rnacentral:rRNA from 1 species
GUGGGGAAUAUUGCACAAUGGGCGCAAGCCUGAUGCAGCAACGCCGCGUGAGGGAUGACGGCCUUCGGGUUGUAAACCUCUUUUAGUAGGGAAGAAGCGAAAGUGACGGUACCUGCAGAAAAAGCACCGGCUAACUACGUGCCAGCAGCCGCGGUAAUACGUAGGGUGCAAGCGUUGUCCGGAAUUAUUGGGCGUAAAGAGCUCGUAGGCGGCUUGUCGCGUCUGCUGUGAAAACCCGAGGCUCAACCUCGGGCCUGCAGUGGGUAAGGGCAGGCUAGAGUGCGGUAGGGGAGAUUGGAAUUCCUGGUGUAGCGGUGGAAUGCGCAGAUAUCAGGAGGAACACCGAUGGCGAAGGCAGAUCUCUGGGCCGUAACUGACGCUGAGGAGCGAAAGCAUGGGGAGCGAACAGGAUUAGAAACCCGAGUAGUCC